AGCGUAGACGGAUGGACAAGUCUGAUGUGAAAGGCUGGGGGCUCAACCCCGGGACUGCAUUGGAAACUGCCCGUCUUGAGUGCCGGAGAGGUAAGCGGAAUUCCUAGUGUAGCGGUGAAAUGCGUAGAUAUUAGGAAGAACACCAGUGGCGAAGGCGGCUUACUGGACGGUAACUGACGUUGAGGCUCGAAAGCGUGGGGAGCAAACA
rnacentral:rRNA from 1 species